UUAAGCGACUAAGCGUACACGGUGGAUGCCCUGGCAGUCAGAGGCGAUGAAGGACGUGCUAAUCUGCGAAAAGCGCCGGCGAGGUGAUAUGAACCUUUGACCCGGCGAUGUCCGAAUGGGGAAACCCAGUGUGUUUCGACACACUAUCGUUAACUGAAUACAUAGGUUAACGAGGCGAACCGGGGGAACUGAAACAUCUAAGUACCCCGAGGAAAAGAAAUCAACCGAGAUUCCCCCAGUAGCGGCGAGCGAACGGGGAGCAGCCCAGAGCCUGAAUCAGCUUGUGUGUUAGUGGAAGCGUCUGGAAAGUCGCAGGGUACAGGGUGAUACUCCCGUACACGAAGAUACACAUGCUGUGAACUCGAAGAGUAGGGCGGGACACGUGGUAUCCUGUCUGAAUAUGGGGGGACCAUCCUCCAAGGCUAAAUACUCCUGACUGACCGAUAGUGAACCAGUACCGUGAGGGAAAGGCGAAAAGAACCCCGGCGAGGGGAGUGAAAAAGAACCUGAAACCGUGUACGUACAAGCAGUGGGAGCACCUUCGUGGUGUGACUGCGUACCUUUUGUAUAAUGGGUCAGCGACUUAUAUUCUGUAGCAAGGUUAACCGUAUAGGGGAGCCGAAGGGAAACCGAGUCUUAACUGGGCGUUAAGUUGCAGGGUAUAGACCCGAAACCCGGUGAUCUAGCCAUGGGCAGGUUGAAGGUUGGGUAACACUAACUGGAGGACCGAACCGACUAAUGUUGAAAAAUUAGCGGAUGACUUGUGGCUGGGGGUGAAAGGCCAAUCAAACCGGGAGAUAGCUGGUUCUCCCCGAAAGCUAUUUAGGUAGCGCCUCGUGAAUUCAUCUCCGGGGGUAGAGCACUGUUUCGGCUAGGGGGCCAUCCCGGCUUACCAACCCGAUGCAAACUGCGAAUACCGGAGAAUGUUAUCACGGGAGACACACGGCGGGUGCUAACGUCCGUCGUGAAGAGGGAAACAACCCAGACCGCCAGCUAAGGUCCCAAAGUCAUGGUUAAGUGGGAAACGAUGUGGGAAGGCACAGACAGCCAGGAUGUUGGCUUAGAAGCAGCCAUCAUUUAAAGAAAGCGUAAUAGCUCACUGGUCGAGUCGGCCUGCGCGGAAGAUGUAACGGGGCUAAACCAUGCACCGAAGCUGCGGCAGCGACACUAUGUGUUGUUGGGUAGGGGAGCGUUCUGUAAGCCUGCGAAGGUGUGCUGUGAGGCAUGCUGGAGGUAUCAGAAGUGCGAAUGCUGACAUAAGUAACGAUAAAGCGGGUGAAAAGCCCGCUCGCCGGAAGACCAAGGGUUCCUGUCCAACGUUAAUCGGGGCAGGGUGAGUCGACCCCUAAGGCGAGGCCGAAAGGCGUAGUCGAUGGGAAACAGGUUAAUAUUCCUGUACUUGGUGUUACUGCGAAGGGGGGACGGAGAAGGCUAUGUUAGCCGGGCGACGGUUGUCCCGGUUUAAGCAUGUAGGCUGAUUAUCCAGGCAAAUCCGGAUAAUCAAGGCUGAGGUGUGAUGACGAGUCACUACGGUGAUGAAGUAACAAAUGCCCUGCUUCCAGGAAAAGCCUCUAAGCAUCAGGUAACAUCAAAUCGUACCCCAAACCGACACAGGUGGUCAGGUAGAGAAUACCAAGGCGCUUGAGAGAACUCGGGUGAAGGAACUAGGCAAAAUGGUGCCGUAACUUCGGGAGAAGGCACGCUGAUAUGUAGGUGAAGCCCCUGCGGGUGGAGCUGAAAUCAGUCGAAGAUACCAGCUGGCUGCAACUGUUUAUUAAAAACACAGCACUGUGCAAACACGAAAGUGGACGUAUACGGUGUGACGCCUGCCCGGUGCCGGAAGGUUAAUUGAUGGGGUUAGCGGCAACGCGAAGCUCUUGAUCGAAGCCCCGGUAAACGGCGGCCGUAACUAUAACGGUCCUAAGGUAGCGAAAUUCCUUGUCGGGU
rnacentral:rRNA from 1 species